UCUGCUUAAAGGGGCCUUGUCACAUAUCUCUGCACUGAUCACCCAGGUGAUGUAACUCUUGUCUAGGCUCUGCUUACAGGGGGUAUUGUGACAUAUAUCUGCACUGAUCACCUAAGUGAUGUAACACUUGUGUAGGCUCUGCCUACAGGGGCAUUUUGACAUAUCUCUGCACUGUUAAACGAGGUGAUGUAACUCUUGUCUAGGCUGUGCCCACAGGGGGAUUGAGACAUAUCUCUGCACUGAUCCCGAGAUGAUCCAACUCUUACCUGGUCUCUGCCUACUGGGGACUUUGUGACAUAUCUCUGCACUUAUCUCCCAGGUGCUGUAACUUUAGUCUAGGCUCUGGCUAUACGGCAUUGUGACAUAUCACUGCACUGAUCACCCAGGUGAUAUAACUCUUCUCUAGGAUUUGCCUACAGGGUGCUUUGUGACAUAUCCCUGCAAUGAUCACCCAGGUGAUGUACCACUUGUCAAAGCUCUGCCUACAGGGACAUUGCGAUGUAUCUCUGCACUGAUCACCUAGGUCAUGUAACCGUUGUCUAGGCUCUGCCUACAGUGGCAUUGUGACAUAUCUCUGCACUGAUCAUCCAAGUGAUGUAACCUUUCUCUAGGAUCUGCCUAAAGGGAAUUUGUGACAUAACUCUGCACUGAUCAUCCAGGUGAUGGGGCUUUUAUCUAGGCUCUGCCUAAGGGGGCAUUGUGACAUAUUUCUGCACUGAUCACCCAGGUGAAGGACUCUUGUCUUCGAUCGGCCUAUAGGGGCAUUGUGACAUAUUUCUGCACUGAUCACCCAGGUGAUGGGACUCUUGUCUAGGCUCUGUGUAUGGGGACUUUGUGACAUAUCUCUGCAGUAAUCACCCAGGUGAUGUAACGCUUGACUAGGCUCUGCCUACGGGGCAUAGUGACAUAUCACUGCAUUGAUCACUGAGGUGAUGUAACUCUUGUCCGACUCUGCGUAUAGGGGGCCUUGUGACAUAUCUCUGCACUGAUCAUCUAGGUGAUGUAACUCUUGCUUACACUCUGCCUGCAGGGGCAUUGUGAAAUAUCUCUGCACUGAUCACGCAGGUGAUUGGACUCUUCUGUAGGCUCCGCCUCCUGAGGGCAUUGUCACAUAUUUCUGCAAUGAUCACCCAGGUGACGAACGCUUGUCUUGGAUUUGCCUAUGGGGACAUUGUGACAUAUCUCUGCAAUGAUCAUCCAGGUGAUGUAACUCUGGUCUAAGCUCUGCCUAAAGGGGCCUUGUGACAGAUCUCUGCAGUGAUCACUCAGGUGAUGUAACUAUUGUCGAGGGUCUGCUUAAAGGGGCCUUGUCACAUAUCUCUGCCCUGAUCACCCAGAUGAUGUAACUCUUGUCUAGGCUCUGCUUACAGGGGGCAAUGUGACAUAUCUCUGCAGUGAUCACCUAAGUGAUGUAACAGUUGUGUAGGU
rnacentral:lncRNA from 1 species